rnacentral:pre_miRNA from 1 species
UUGAUCAUUCCCUCUCUCCUACCCAAUGUUGUGAGAUUUCGCUUCAGAACCUUCUUCGGUUUGUUCAGAAAAAUUAAGCGCUUCAGUACUUCUUCCGAUUCUGAGGAAGACUUCGGAUUUAUAUUAAGUUAAAAAAAAAAAAUCUGAAGUCUCUCCCCUAAUCUGCCAAAUUACCGAAGUGCUUCAUUUUUCUGACCAAAUUGAAGGAGGUUCUGAAACGAAUCUAACAAUAUUGGUCAAAGCAACAUAACCGAUGUCAA